rnacentral:misc_RNA from 1 species
GUUGGCAAAUUUUUCGCUUAUUUUCCUUAUACAUUAAUAACCAUUUCAAUUAAAUACUCAUUAAUUACAAUUUACUGUUUUAUAAUACAAGCGAUAAAGAUUAAAAUGUUAAAAGCCUCGUGUUAUUCACCUUGAAGACAAUCAAAUGAAAAUAAAAAUAAAAAUAAAAAUAAAAGGGGGACAAAUCCACAGCAACAUUUCAUCUUCCCUUUUGGUUCAUAAUUUCCGAGAAUACAGUGUCAGAACUCAUUCUAUCAGGAUCAGUUUUGGAGAUACUCCUUUCACCACUACUAAUCGUGCUCUUGGAUCCAUGCUUGUGUCCACCUGAGACGCUAAACAAGUCAUCAUCAUCAGUAGUUAUAGCUUCUCCACGCAACAACAAUGGACUUUCCUGCUCCUCACUCACUCUAUCAAUACUAUUUCUAGUGUUCUCAGCAGUCUCUUGAAGCUGCAAAGCAAACUCAAGCCCACAAACCACAUCGCUCAUUGUUGGCCUUUGUGUUCCUUGGUCACGCAGGCAACUCUCAGCAAUCUCUCCAAAUUUCUCCAAACAGACAGGGUCACUAUUACCCCUCAAAUAGGGGUCCAUUAUCUGAUCAAUGGCUCCUCUUCUACAGCAAAUCCGAGCCCAAUCAGCUAAAUUGACUUGCUCUUUUGGUAGUCCUGGAAUCACUGGCGGCCUAGCACAGAGCAACUCAAACAGAACUACUCCAAAUGAGUACACAUCAGAUUUUUCCGUGAGGUGUUGCCGACGGUAGUACUCUGGAUCCACGUACCCAAAACUUCCCCUAACUACAGUGCUAACGUGCGUUUGGGAGUCGCUGGUGGGACCCAUUCUUGACAAACCAAAGUCUGAAACCUUGGCCACCCAAUUCUCAUCUAUCAAUAUGUUCGUUGACUUCACAUCGCGGUGAAUGAUGGGGUGCUUCGCACCUGUAUGAAGAUAAUGGAGUCCUCGUGCAGCUCCAAUGCAGAUCUCUAGCCUCCGUUUCCAUGGAAGAGGAGGAUUCCUGGUUUUGUAGAGAUGAUCGCGGAGGGUCCCGCGAUGCAUAUACUCGUAAACAAGGAUCAUUUCACCAGGAUCAUCGCAGUAUCCAAUCAGUGACACAAGAUGGGGAUUGUGAAGCUCGGACAGCAUGUCGAUUUCCGUCCUGAACUCGCGAGUCCCUUGCCUUGAUGAUGAAUCCAACCGCUUAAUUGCAACUGGAGUAGCACCAUCGUCUAUAAGCCCUUUAUAAACAUUUCCAAAUCCCCCAGAUCCAAUAACAAAUUCAUCAUCGAAUUUGGACGUGGCCACUUCAAUCUCGAAGAUGGAGAAUCGCCGACUAGUGUUUGAAGGCCUCAGCGAAGCCUUUGUAACUGAGGACCUUAAAGUGUGGGAGAAAGGGAACCGGAAGGAUUUGGCCUCACUCUUUUCAAAGUCCUUCACUCUCCUCUGUUUAAAAACAAAGAAACAAAUAACAAGAGAGAGCGCUAGCAUACCCCCAAAAACAGAACCAACAACGAUUACUACCAAAAAUCUUUUCUCGUUAGUCUUCACUUUCAAUUUUGGAAGGUUUUCUGGUGGUGGACUACCCGCCAAUAAUUCAGGGCCGGGAGAGGCUAGACUACCGCCUGAAUUAUUCAACUUGAAUAUCUCUAGGCCGUUCAAGAAAGCAUCAGCAUAUGUACGUUUUUUAUCAAAAUUGGGGUGUAAAGCGAGACACAAGUACUGCUUACUAUGGCUGCCUUUGGGGAUCCACAAGACGUAGUCUUUAUACAGUGGAACACUGUUACCGCCGGACCAGAGCAUUAUAUCUGCGUAUGGCUCAGCUGUUUGAUUGUUGAUGAAUAUAUAAAACACCACUUGGUCACUUCUUGUGACCUCAGGUCGAAACUCACAAAAAUGGAGCCUAACAAGAUAAUUGAAACCAGCAUCAAUGGAGAAGUACCAUGUAAGAUUGUAAUUCAGGUUACGAUGUGAAUCGGGACCCAUAAAACGCAUGCUACCAUAUACCAUUACAGGUGCAGUGUAGGCUGGUGUCUUCAUUGUAUACUGUAUUUUGACAUCAGGUGGUAUAAUUGCAAACCCAAGUGCCCCACUAAAGAUGUAAUUUAAAUCUUGAAGCCAUGUCCUAUGCAUUCCAGUGUCAUCUUUCCCGCUGAUAUCUUGUCCACCAACAUUUAGCCGAUAAAAUUUCUCAAGAGCGGUGGUGUUAUCCAAAUAAAAUGGGUUACUAUCGAUGCCCACAUAAGGAAGUGGAUUAUUGUUGCCGCUGGCAUAGAGGUUGUUGGGCAUCGAAACUAUCUCGAUGCCAUUUAUGAAGGCAAAAGAACUUGGAGAAGGAGAGAAUGUCAGAUCAAGCUUCUGGUUAUCCCACACGGUAAUGAUAUACUCUUUGAUGAAGGAGGCGACAGAAGGUUUCAUAGCAGAAACAGUGAGAAAAGCACUAAAAUUGUUGAGGAGAGUGUAAGUAUUGGCACUAAGAGAGAAACGGGAUUUGGAAAUGUCAAGAUUGGAGUAAGUAGCUGGAUAGAAGUAGAGACGAACAAACUUUGGGCCAGGCGAGACGGGAAAGGUGUAGGUGAAUUGCGAUUGAAAAAUACGGGCUGUCAUAUAUGGAACUUGGGUUACUGAUGGGUCUUGUUGAGAAGCUGUAAACGCAGAUGAUGCUGUUUCAGGGUUAGAGGCAUGAAAUUUGGAGUCGGCAUCUCCAUCCCAAGUGCGUCCAUCCAGCGAUGUAGAACUAGACGAUGCGCCACAAUCCAGGAGGAUGAGGUCUACAGGAGUAUAUGACAGUGAUUUCUUGAUACCGGUUACAGAAGGGAGGAGGUGGAGGAGCAACACUAGACAGAUACCUGGAUGAUCUCGGAGCGACAUUGAUCUUGAAC